UGUGUGUGUGUUUGUGUGUAGGUGUGUGUGAGCCUGUGUGUGAUCCUGUGUGUGAAUCCCUGGCUGCUGAUCCACUGUCUGCUGCUCGAGCUUAAAGGGUAAGGGUGUUCAUCAGUCUCUACUCAGAGAGAAAACUUUUGACAUUUUCAGAGAUUUGAGGAAGAUUUCUUGAACUAAAAGGAGAUUAGCCUACCGUCAAAAGACGUAGAACUCGCCACAGCAUAAUUUCAGCGUUACUCAUAGAUAUAUAAAGUUUACCGGGUGGGAAGUCAACUGCUGUUUUUGUACCCUACUUACCGUAACUGUUUCGAAGAUGACGUUUUGUCCAGAAGUUUGAUAUGUAUCGAGGAGUUUCAACUUCGAAACCAAGUUGGUGUGUGGGUGAAAGAGAUGGUGCGGUCUGGAGCUGACAGCUGACGUAGCUGAUAGCUGACGUAGCUGAUAGCUGACGUAGCUGAUAGCUGACAUAGCUGAUAGCUGACAGAGCUGAUAGCUGACGUAGCUGAUAGCUGACAGAGCUGAUAGCUGACGUAGCUGAUAGCUGACAUAGCUGAUAGCUGACAGAGCUGUAGUAGGAUGAGAUGAGAGAGGAUGGAACACACGGACAGCCCCGCCUCCCACAGCAGCGACCCCAACGGGUUCGUCAAUAAAGUCUUCAACGUGUCUCUGGAUGUGCAGCAUGAGACCGGCACUGUAUCUAUCCAUGAGACUGGGAAGGGAGAGGGACAGGGAGAGAGUCAAGAAGAGGGUCAGGGUCCAUGCCAAGCCCAGGGACAGUGGCAGGGGGAUGGGGAUAGACAGGCAGAGACCCAGGCACCCCCUCAGACCCCUGGGAUGGAGCACCCGGAUGUCAACCGUAGACCAAGAGCUACAGGAGGCAUCUGGAAGAUCUUGACCCGGCGAAAAGCGGCUUCAGAACUGGAUAACAGAAGACCUCACUCCAUGAUCCUCCCAGGAGAGGAGGCCUUUAUCCCUAAACUGUCCUUCGCUGACAAGGUCCGCUCCAUCAAGAAGCUCCGCUCUCCGGGUGUCUUCAAGGGGAGGGUGGGUAAGAUGUCUAGGUCCAGCACUAAGUUCAGAGAUGGAGAGACGGAGGACGACUCGUUCUGCCGGGACUUCCUCCCCUCACCCGCCCUGCAUCCCGGUAGGAGCACACUCCGCCACUACGCCAAGAGGCACUCGUAUGCCGGACAUACCGCCGAGUUCGACUGCUCAUUUGAGGACAUGGAUCUGACAGCUACCCUGGACAGACACCAUCUUCCCUCGCUAGUGGACCCUGCUACCCAGAACGGCUCUAAGCCCACAGAGAGAGUCCCCUACACCAAGAGAUCUCAGGUCCAGGCUCAGGCGCAGGCCAAUCACUCCUCUAACUGUAACACUACCUCAGCAGAAGUGUGUGAGGAGCAGAGUGUGAGGGGCGGCCCCAAGGCCCCGCUGGGUGGGAGGAGGUCUAAGAGAGCUGACGUGUGGAGUUACCUAAGGAAGAUCUCUGUCCUGGGGAAGGGGAACCCAGCUUACUCAGAGAGGAGUUUUGACUCAGAGCUACACACACUGGACAAGACCAUGGACUCUGACUAUGGCUCGGUGGACAUUGAGAGCAUCCGGGACUUUCAGCCAGCUGCUACAAAACACUCUGACAGCAAAGGUGGACAUUUUGGGGGUCUGAUUAAGUUCUUCAGCAAUGUUGCAGAGACGGCUAGAAAAUGGCGGAUGUCUUCUCACUCCUUCUCUCCUCCAGAGGGGGGGGCGGAGCGGACGCCACUGGACUCCCCCAGAGCAGGGCAGCGUCUGGGGGACUACGUCCACAGUGUGUCCCUGACCCUCCGCAGUGAGGACCAUCCAGAGUUUCCCCCAACACCCGCCUCACCCCUGACCCCUCACCCCCCUCGCUCCCCUACUUGUGACCCUGCCUCACCCACUCCUCUGAUAGGCAGACGGUCUCCUCGAGUGGUGCUGAAGGCCUGGAGAGUAUGUCCGGACUCACCAAGCGUUAACGGCCUGGUGUGUGUGAGCUCAUUGGAAACGGCCAGACAGACAGACAAACAGACAGAGAGCCAGCCAGUCAGACAGACAGAGAGACAGACACGGCACACCUCUGUAGCCACAGUAGAGAAUCAUGUGCCACACUCAAGGCUGGAGAGAGAGACUCAGAAAGAGACAGUGGGAGACAGAGACCACUUAGAAUGUCUGUCUACAGUGGAAGACAGAGAAAGAGAGGGAAGAGAGCGACACUCAGGAAAUUAUCUGGAUUCCGAGGAUGCUCUACCUGUCUCGGAUCAGACACACCUUCCAAACGGCCAAUCAAAGUUACGGGAAGAAGAGACCGCAGCCACUAGGGAGCCAGCAGGAAACUGCCACCAGGAAGUAUUUAAGGGAGCUCUAUCAGGCAGUGUUUUGAGGAGACCCAGGUCAGUCCAGUCCUAUUCUAGUCCAGUGAAGACCCCUGCCCCUCCCAAGCCCCCCCGCCCUCGCCCCCGUCCCGCCUCAGCACUGGUCGACCUCCGAGUCUGCAGUCCCUUCCCAGGGGGCUGUGCGUUUGCCGUUACUCAGCAGGCCACAGGGGGCUCUCUGUGCCGGCACAGACGCAGGCCCGGUCCCAUGAUGCACCUCUUGCCGCCGGGUCGGAGACAGGCGGGCAGUCUGGCCAGACCAUGCUCUGUCAUAGAGCCCUCUGUUACCGUGGAGACAGACCCCGCGCAGAGUCACAGAGUAAGACCUCACACACACACACACACAAACACACACAUAUUAUCCCCUGCUGAGAGAAUGAAAGUGGGAGUGUGUGUGGAGACUGACCAGUAG
rnacentral:lncRNA from 1 species